rnacentral:rRNA from 1 species
UACGUAGGGGGCUAGCGUUGUCCGGAUUUAUUGGGCGUAAAGAGCGUGUAGGCGGCCAGGUAGGUCCGUUGUGAAAACUCGAGGCUCAACCUCGAGACGUCGGCGGAAACCCUCUGGCUAGAGUCCGGAAGAGGAGAGUGGAAUUCCUGGUGUAGCGGUGAAAUGCGCAGAUAUCAGGAAGAACACCCGUGGCGAAGGCGGCUCUCUGGAACGCAACUGACGCUGAGACGCGAAAGCGUGGGGAGCAAACAGG